rnacentral:rRNA from 1 species
GACGAACGCUGGCGGCGUGCUUAACACAUGCAAGUCGAACGGAAAGGCCCUGCUUUUGUGGGGUUCUCGAGUGGCGAACGUGUGAGUAACACGUGAGUAACCUGCCCUUGACUUUGGGAUAACUUCAGGAAACUGGGUCUAAUACCGGAUGGGAGCUCCUGCGGCAUUGUGGGGGUUGGAAAGUUUCGGCGGUUGGGGAUGGACUCGCGGAUUAUCAGCUUGUUGGUGGGGUAGUGGAAUACCAAGGCUUUGACGGGUAGCCGGCCUGAGGGGGUGAGCGGCCACAUUGGGACUGAGCUACGGAGCAGCCUACUACGGGCGGCAGCAGUGGGGAUUAUUGCACAAUGGGAGGAAGCAUGAUGCAGCACCGCGGCGUGCGGGAUGACGGCCUUCGGGUUGUCACCUGCCUUCGCCGGUGACGAAGCGUGAGUGACGGUAAUGGGUAAAGAAGCACCGGCUAACUACGUG